AGUGAACGCUGGCGGUAGGCCUAACACAUGCAAGUCGAACGGCAGCACAGUAAGAGCUUGCUCUUACGGGUGGCGAGUGGCGGACGGGUGAGGAAUACAUCGGAAUCUACUUUUUCGUAGGGGAUGACGUAGGGAAACUUACGCUAAUACCGCAUACGACCUACGGGUGAAAGCAGGGGAUCUUCGGACCUUGCGCGAUUGAAUGAGCCGAUGUCGGAUUAGCUAGUUGGCGGGGUAAAGGCCCACCAAGGCGACGAUCCGUAGCUGGUCUGAGAGGAUGAUCAGCCACACUGGAACUGAGACACGGUCCAGACUCCUACGGGAGGCAGCAGUGGGGAAUAUUGGACAAUGGGCGCAAGCCUGAUCCAACCAUACCGCGUGGGUGAAGAAGGCCUUCGGGUUGUAAAGCCCUUUUGUUGGGAAAGAAAAGCAGCAGGUUAAUACCCCGCUGUUCUGACGGUACCCAAAGAAUAAGCACCGGCUAACUUCGUG
rnacentral:rRNA from 1 species